rnacentral:rRNA from 1 species
AUACGGAAGGUCCGGGCGUUAUCCGGAUUUAUUGGGUUUAAAGGGAGCGCAGGCGGAGAUGCAAGCGUGACGUCAAAUUUCGGGGCUCAACCCCGUCUCGCGUCGCGAACUGCGUCCCUUGGUUGCGGGAAGGGGAGGCGGAACUCGUGGUGUAGCGGUGAAAUGCGUAGAUAUCACGAAGAACUCCGAUCGCGAAGGCAGCCUUCCGGCCCGUCAACGACGCUCAUGCUCGAAGGUGCGGGUAUCAAACAGGAUUAGAUACCCUGGUAGUCCGCACAGUAAACGAUGGACACCCGCGGUUUGGCCUAUAUGGCUGAGCCGCCAAGCGAAAGCGUUAAGUGUCCCACCUGGGGAGUACGCCGGCAACGGUGAAACUCAAAGGAAUUGACGGGG